rnacentral:ribozyme from 1 species
AAAGAGAAAGAGAGAGGGAGAGAGAGAGGAAGGGAGAGAGGAAAAGAGGAAGAAGCUGCAAAGGAAGGUGGUCGCGUUGUGUGUGUGUGUUUCUCUUUUUGUUUCGGUUUUCUUCCUUCUUCUUCUUCUUUCUUUUUCGUACCCUUAGU